rnacentral:rRNA from 1 species
UACGUAGGCAGCAAGCGUUGUUCGGAGUUACUGGGCGUAAAGGGUGCGUAGGCGGUUGUUUAAGUUUGGUGUGAAAUCUCCCGGCUCAACUGGGAGGGUGCGCCGAAUACUGAAUGACUAGAGUGCGGGAGAGGAGAGUGGAAUUCCUGGUGUAGCGGUGAAAUGCGUAGAUAUCAGGAGGAACACCGGUGGUGUAGACGGCUCUCUGGACCGUAACUGACGCUGAGGCACGAAAGCGUGGGGAGCAAACGGG